rnacentral:lncRNA from 1 species
ACUGAUAUGGAAGUGCUGGGAAGGGAAGAGCGUGGUCCCUUUAAAUGAUAGGGAAGGGGAGAAGGGAAGUGCUGGGUAGAGGAGGGCACGGUCCCUGGCUAGGGCUCCACCCCCACGGACCUAGGUAAGGACAGGCACUUCUGCUUUCAUGCCGAAAUGUAGCAUUUUCCAAGACCACCCUGGCCUGCCAUGCCCCCAUCAUGGGCCUAUAAAAACCAGAGACCUUAGCAAGGCAGGGACGCAAGCAGCUGGACAUCAUAAGGAACACAUCAGCAGAAGAAGACACAAGCAGCUGGUCAUCGAAAGCACACUGGCGGAAGAGCAGGCCAACAGACACCUGCAGGCCAUCAGGCCAUCGAUGGAGUCUCGCUCUGUCGCCCAGGCUGGAGUGCAGUGGCGCGAUCUCCGCUCACUGCAAGCUCCGCCUCCCGGGUUGACGCCAUUCUCCUGCCUCAGCUUCCCGAGUACUGGGACUACAGGCGCCUGCCACCACGCCCAGCCAGCACUGGGAUUCCAUCCUCAUCGAGCUCCUUGACACGCAGGUCGGCUUCACUGUGGGCAAGCACAAUCAUCAUUUGCAGACAAAAGGAGAACCCAGUUAUUUGAUCUUGAUUAUAAGAUGUGACAAUUAUCUCUCAAAUAUUACAGAUUUUAUGUCAUAAAUUGCUCUGGGGCACUGCAACCUAGCAAGUCCUCCUGAGAGGCCCAUCUAGCCUGCUGCCCAGGCCACAACCAACCUUGCCACUAGCCUUUUCAUCAAUACAAAGGACAACUAUUU